rnacentral:misc_RNA from 1 species
UUUACAUUCCCAUUUUCAUUAAGCAUCCAAGAGAAGUCCACAUUACAGGUAAGAUUGGUUAAAACCAAAGUGAAUGCAGCAGGAGCAUUGCCCUAUAGAAUAUUAUGCUCAAAUUAUAUUAUGCAUGACACCAGCAACCAGCAAGACAUGCAAGAUUAAUAACAAGUAACAUUCUGUUAACAAUAGGACAUUUUUGGAAAUUACCUAUCUG